AUUAAAGAAACUUUUUUUUGAAUUAAGGAUUGUUCAAUUGUGGAGAAAAUUUUUGUAAUAAAGCACCCACAUCCAUUGAAAUGAAUCAAAAGAUUUUCUCCUAGGUGUAAGAAAGUAAGUCCAAAAAUUAUCAAAUAAAUAAAAAAAACUUGUCUAACUUAUAAAAUAUUUUAUUACAUAUAUAUUUAUAUAGGAACAUAUCAGCAUUAAUAAACAAAUUGUAAGUUAACUUAGGAUUCAUAUAAGGCGGUUGAAAAGUGACAUCUCAUGAGUGAGAGUCAAGAAAAAUUGCAUAAUCAGUGGAAAUCUUGAAUCCUAGAAAUAGUACACAAGUCAGAUGUACUCAGUGAUAUCCCUAGGUUUCUGAAGGAGGGCAACUUAAAAUGAAUGGAGGUUGUUGCAGAUAAUGGGGUUCUAAAGGCUUGAAAAAAUAUCAAGCAUGUCUGUUUUUAUUUGUAUUUCUUGAGAUAUCUCCUUUUUAAAUCUUAUAUUAUACUUUUUGAACAUCUUGUUUUUUAAAAAAAGAAUGGUGAAUUCAUGUGUUUUUCGGAAGAAUCGCAUAACCUAAUACAAAGUUGUGAAAAAUAUGUAUGUUAUUAAGGUCAUAACACUAGUCAUCCUGUUGUUUGGUUUUGAAGGCCGAUAUAGUACGGUACAUAACCUAGAUGCGUCAGACUCUAUUAAGCAUUUUUUUGUUGUUGCUAAGGCCGUCAUUAUGUAAACCACCUGUAGGCACAUCAAAGCUUUUAAGGAUACUAAUACAGCCGACAUUUGAAAAGAUAGUAAAAAUAUUAGCAUUUAAGCGUGAUAAAAGAUAACACUUACUACUGUAGACAACAGGAUAGCAAUUGCCACAGAAAGGCUCUUUGUCAGAAAAUCUAGAAUGAAAAAUCCAAAAUAAAUCUGUUUCAGUAUUGCCAAAAAUGCAAUCUUAAAAUAUUGCACUAUUCUAAAUACAUACUGUGGAAAAUGUGUUAAAAGUCCGCACAUGAUGUUUCAAUAGUAUGAUAACAUAAUUGACAAUAAACGAGGCAUAAAAAUGCUAAAAUUAAAGAAUAGAGAGCAGCUGUUUAACAUUAAAUUAUUAGGUGCUUUAAUGUUGGAAAGCUUUCUUAUAAACAAUUGGGCAAAUUCAAAACCAACUAUUUUUUUUUAUCUAAUUGGUUAAUGAUUGUUAAACAGUAAUUAAAAAAAGGUUUAAAAAUUUCACUCCAGCCGAGGGUCUAUUUAAAGCUUCCACACCAUAUCAUUAUGUGAUGAUUCGUAUUUCAUAAUCUCAGAUUAUUUUUUUUCUCUUUCUUGUGUCAGCUAUGGUUAUAUCAAAACUAGUUUUUGUAUAUAUAUAUGUAUAUAAUUAUUUACAUGAGAAUAAAGAUUUAUUUAAAUUUUU